CAUCACUACGCUAGAUGCAUAUCAAUAAGCGGAGGAAAAGAAACUAACAAGGAUUCCCCUAGUAACGGCGAGUGAAGCGGGAAGAGCUCAAAUUUGAAAUCUUAAAGGGUUUCCCUUUACGAAUUGUAGUUUAAAGAAGUGUUUUCUGUUGGAGUUUCGGUAAAAGUUCUUUGGAAUAGGACAUCAUAGAGGGUGAGAAUCCCGUAUUUGACCGUUACUUUCCAGCUGUGUGAUACACUUUCAAAGAGUCGGAUUGUUUGGGAAUGCAGUCCAAAAUGGGUGGUAAAUUUCAUCUAAAGCUAAAUAUUGGCGAGAGACCGAUAGCGAACAAGUACCGUGAGGGAAAGAUGAAAAGAACUUUGAAAAGAGAGUUAAACAGUACGUGAAAUUGUCAAAAGGGAAGCGUUUGACACCAGUGUUGUUUAGUUGAAAAUCAAUUCAAUAGUUUUUGAUUCUAAGUAGUAUUGACUUCAUCAGCUUGCUGCUUUCUUCUCAGAAAUUAUUGAAUGCACUUUUCAGUUAACAAGUCAACAUCAAUUUCUUUUGUUGUAAAAGGGUAAGAGGAAGGUGGCUUGCGCUUCGGCUCAAGUGUUUAUAGCCUUUUAUCUCUGCAAUCGGAGAGAUUGAGGUCUGCAGCGUAGAUCCUUCGGGGUUAGAUACAUUGGUGCUAAGCUAUAGCCUUGUAUAGACAACUUGUUGACUAUGCUCAGUCACGUAGCUUACUCGCUGAUGCUAUUUUACCUACGCUUAGGAUGUUGACACACGCGCGUGCUCG
rnacentral:rRNA from 1 species